rnacentral:misc_RNA from 1 species
AAAAAAAUUGAGGUAUUCAUUACCUCUUUGUAUUUAAAACCUUACACUAUAAAACCUAAAAAUUUUUAAAAAUAAAAUGAA